AAAUAAUUUAGCUGCAAAAUUGAAUUUCUUCAGUCUACCAGAGUGAGAGGGGCCCAGCGACAGCAGUGGAAGUUCUGCCACCUGUUACUUCUUGCGUCAGCACGUAACCACUGAAGUCACGGCAGCAACAUGGAUGGAGCUGGAAAAGAU